UACGGAGGGUGCAAGCGUUGUCCGGAUUUAUUGGGUUUAAAGGGUGCGUAGGUGGCUUGUUAAGUCUGGGGUGAAAGGCAGUGGCUCAACCACUCGCAGGGCCCUGGAUACUGGCAGGCUGGAGUGUAGGUGAGGCCGGUGGAACGGGUGGUGUAGCGGUGAAAUGCAUAGAUACCAUCCAGAACACCGAUUGCGAAAGCAGCCGGCUAACCUACUACUGACACUGAGGCACGAAAGCGUGGGGAGCAAACAGG
rnacentral:rRNA from 1 species